UACGAAGGGUGCAAGCGUUACUCGGAAUUACUGGGCGUAAAGCGUGCGUAGGUGGUUCGUUAAGUCUGAUGUGAAAGCCCUGGGCUCAACCUGGGAAUUGCAUUGGAUACUGGCGGGCUAGAGUACGGUAGAGGGUGGCGGAAUUCCUGGUGUAGCAGUGAAAUGCGUAGAGAUGUGGAGGAAUACCGAUGGCGAAGGCAGCCCCCUGGGAUGAUACUGACGCUCAUGCACGAAAGCGUGGGGAGCAAACAGG
rnacentral:rRNA from 1 species